rnacentral:rRNA from 1 species
CGGCGGACGGGUGAGUAACACGUGGGUAACCUACCUAUAAGACUGGGAUAACUUCGGGAAACCGGAGCUAAUACCGGAUAAUAUUUCGAACCGCAUGGUUCGAUAGUGAAAGAUGGUUUUGCUAUCACUUAUAGAUGGACCUGCGCCGUAUUAGCUAGUUGGUAAGGUAACGGCUUACCAAGGCGACGAUACGUAGCCGACCUGAGAGGGUGAUCGGCCACACUGGAACUGAGACACGGUCCAGACUCCUACGGGAGGCAGCAGCG